GCGGGUGUGGCGGAAUGGCAGACGCGCCAGACUUAGGAUCUGGUGUCUUCGGACGUGGAGGUUCAAGUCCUCUCACCCGCA
rnacentral:tRNA from 1 species